rnacentral:rRNA from 1 species
UACGUAGGGGGCAAGCGUUGUCCGGAUUUAUUGGGCGUAAAGAGCGUGUAGGCGGCUGGGUAGGUCCGUUGUGAAAACUCGAGGCUCAACCUCGAGACGCCGAUGGAAACCCCCCGGCUAGAGUCCGGAAGAGGAGAGUGGAAUUCCUGGUGUAGCGGUGAAAUGCGCAGAUAUCAGGAGGAACACCGGUGGCGAAGGCGGAUCUCUGGGCCAUUACUGACGCUGAGGAGCGAAAGCGUGGGGAGCGAACAGG